rnacentral:rRNA from 1 species
UGGUGGAGCGAUUUGUCUGGUUAAUUCCGAUAACGAACGAGACCCUGGCCUAUUAAAUAGUUCGCCGAUUCCGAUCUGUCGGCGUUAACUUCUUAGAGGGACAAGUGGCUUUUAGCCACGCGAGAUUGAGCAAUAACA